GACGAACGCUGGCGGCGUGCUUAACACAUGCAAGUCGAACGGAAAGGCCCUGCUUUUGUGGGGUGCUCGAGUGGCGAACGGGUGAGUAACACGUGAGUAACCUGCCCUUGACUUUGGGAUAACUUCAGGAAACUGGGGCUAAUACCGGAUAGGAGCUCCUGCUGCAUGGUGGGGGUUGGAAAGUUUCGGCGGUUGGGGAUGGACUCGCGGCUUAUCAGCUUGUUGGUGGGGUAGUGGCUUACCAAGGCUUUGACGGGUAGCCGGCCUGAGAGGGUGACCGGCCACAUUGGGACUGAGGUACGGCCCAGACGCCUACGGGAGGCAGCAGUGGGGAAUAUUGCACAAUGGGCGGAAGCCUGAUGCAGCAACGCCGCGUGCGGGAUGACGGCCUUCGGGUUGUAAACCGCUUUCGCCUGUGACGAAGCGUGAGUGACGGUAAUGGGUAAAGAAGCACCGGCUAACUACGUG
rnacentral:rRNA from 1 species